GCGGGAGUAGUUCAGUGGUAGAACGUCAGCUUCCCAAGCUGAAUGUCGCGGGUUCGAUCCCCGUCUCCCGCUCCA
rnacentral:tRNA from 2 species